CGGCUCUUCCUAUCAUUGCGAAGCAGAAUUCACCAAGCGUUGGAUUGUUCACCCACCAACAGGGAACUUGAGCUGG
rnacentral:ncRNA from 1 species